GCAUUUGGCGGGGUCUUUGUCUCUCGCUCCCGCCAGAGCUUGGGAUCGGUCUUCACUGUUCCGCGUCCUCCACCUGGGAACCCCCGACCCCCGCCCGGCGACUUUGUCACAGACUCUGUUGCCUUGUGAUCUGCAGGUCCUGGGAGACGCACAGCUAAGAUGCCAGGGCAACCUGGAAGCUGUGAAGUGGUUAUGUGAAUCCUCUUCUUCCCAGACCCUGCCAAAAGGAAAGAUUGUGACAUAUCACUGGAACCAGCACUUAGGCUAUUGUGACAUAUGCCUGAGGCUAACACCCAGAUGAUAUAAGUCUUCAUCCUGGACCCUGUCUACAGAAGUCAUUGCGAUAUAUGUCUUCACCAAUCACUGAGGUCGAACGCCCAGUGAUGUGACUCUCCUUCUUGGUCCAUGCCCUCAGGGAAGAUGAUGACAUACCCCGGCCCAGCACACAGUUAAUGUCACUCUUGUGCUUGCUGUCUACCCAUGGGUAGGAUUGUGACAUAUAUCGUGGCCAAGCACAAAGAUGUAAUGACUGUCAUACCUCGAAGAAAGCAAUAGAGUUAAUGUUGCUCCUAGGUAGGCUUAGGAAAAUGAGGAAGUCGUCUUUCUGUUCAAAUCUCACUCUCUGACAUAUAUAAAGCCCUAGUGUGUUACAGAGAAUGUCAUAACAGGGCUCCUCACACAGGUGAGAUCGUGUUCUAUACACAGCCCACCAAUCUUGAGAAUUGUCACCCUCACACAUGGACAGAGUCCACUGGUGAAGUCCUGAAUCACACAUGAAUGCAGUUCACAGUUGGAAUUGUGACUGUCAUCAUUGAACAUCUGGCCACAAUUUGGAUGGUGAUUCUUUUUUUUUUUUUUUUUUUUUUUUUGAGACAGAAUCUUGCUCUGUCACCCAGGCUGGAGUGCAGUGAUGCAAUCUUGGCUCACUGCAACCUCUGCCUCCUGGGUUCAAGCAAUUCUCCUGCCUCAUCCCCCUGAGUAGCUGUGAUUACAGGCACCCGCCACCAAGCCCAGCUAAUUUUUGUAUUUUAAGUAGAGACAGGGUUUCACCAUGUUGGCCAGGCUGGUCUCGAAGUCCUGACCUCGUGAUCUGCCCACCUCAGCCUCCCAAAGUGCUGGGAUUACAGGUGUGAACCACCAUGCCCGGCAGUGAUUCAUUUCUAAACCCAGCUUGUUAAAAGGUGAGGACUCUCCUAUCUGGACUAAACCAAUUGGAUAGAUGUUGAUGCUCAUAUCUGGGCUUGGAACCACAGGAAAGAUCUUCUUGGACAAAGGUCACAGAGGAUUACCACUCUUGCAUAUUGUAUAAAUCCAUCAAGUGAAACUAUCAUAAGAGAACAUAGCACAUGCGUGAGAUUUUGUCUUUUGAAUGUAUACCCAGGCAACAGUAAAGAUUGUCAUUCUCCCAUAUAAACACAUCUCACUGUUGAGGUUCUGAAUGUCAGACACAGAGACUGUGAAAAGUUGAAUAAUUGACUCUCACGUGGAUCUGGACUAGAGGUGGACUGGUGACUCUCAGAGCAAGAUUCAGCACACAUAAGAGUCUGUGACUUCACUGAAAGGACAAGCCUGCAGAAGAAAUUGUGGCUUUCCUGCCCACAUUCUGUCAACCAUUGAUAUUGUGACUCACAUACUUAGACCCAACAUACAGAAAGUGUUGACUCAUACCUAGCACCUGGACAUAUAUGGAAUUUCUACUCUAAUUCCUGGACUUUUCUGCAGGUGUGAUUGUAUGCAUCUGCUACCCACCUUAGUGAUUUGACUUUGCUGCCUUGGCCCAGCCCACAGAUGAGAUUGUGACAUAUCGCUUGACUCUGCACCUUGAUGGUGCAAUCUCCACUCACUGCAACCUCUGCCUCCCAGGUUCAAGUGAUUCUCCUGCCUCAGCCUCCUGAGGAGCUGGGAUUACAGGCAUGCACCACCACACCCAACUAGUUUUUGUAUUUUUAGUAGAGACGGGGUUUCACAUGUUGGUCAGGCUGGUCUCGAACUCCUGACCUCGUGUUCUGCCCGCCUCAGCCUCCCAAAGUCCUGGGAUUACAGGUAUGAGCCACCAUGCCCGGCCUCGCUGGGCCUUUCACCCAGAUGAUGUGAGUUAUUUUUCUUGCAUUGGUAUUGCUCACAGGGUGCAUUGUGACAUAUUUCUAAGCCCUUCACUCAGGUUAUGUGACUACUUUUUUGCCUGUGCCCUAACUAUUUUGCAUGUUAGGACAUAUUAUGAGGCCCAACACCUAUAAAAUAGAGGCUCCUCCCUGGGCCUUGUCUACAGAGGGCCUUGUGACAUAUCUCUGCAUCAGUCACCUAGGAAAUGUGACUCCGUUUUGCCUGCACUCUGUCCACAGGAAACAUUGUGACUUAUCACUAGGCCCAGGUACUAGUUGAUGUGUCUCUGGUAACUGGGCCUUGACCACAGAGAGGAUUGUUACCUAUUGCUGGGCUCAGCCCCCAUGUGGUGUGACUGUACUGUCUGUGUCCUGCUUUCAGGAGAAGGCUGUAACAUUCCUGGUUGAGUAUUCAGGUGAUGUGACACUCCUGUUUGGUCCCUGCCUUCAGAAAAGAUUGUGAUGUACUCCUGGCCAAAAACCCAGGUGAUGUGACUCUUAUCUCUUCCUAUUCACAGAGACAUGGUUUCAGCAUGUUGGCCAGGCUGGUCUCGAGCUCCGUACUUCAAGUGAUCUGCCCGCCUCAGCCUCGCAAAGUUCUGGGAUUACAGGCAUGAGCCACCGCGCCCGGCCACAAGUGUGGUGAUGACUCUCAUACCUCAAACCAGCCAAUAGGAGAGAUCCUGUUUCUUAUAGCUAGGCUUAAAAUUUCUUAUAGCUAGGCUUAAAAUCAUGAGUAUGGUCAUGGGUCUUCUUGUACGAAGGUCCUAGAGAAAUACCACUUUCUUUUAUACUAUAUAAAUCUCUUACUGUACAGAGAUUGCCAUUCCAGGGUUCAGAACACAGGUGAGAUUGUGUUUCUCAUAUGCAUACCCCAGCAAACAUUAGAAUUGUCAUCUUCACACAUGGACAGGGUCCACUGGUAAGUCCUGAAUCUCACACAUGGAAAAAAUCCACAGUUGAAAUUGUGACUGUCAUAUAUGAACAUCCGGCCAGAGUUGAAAUGAUGAGUCAUUUCUAAAUCCAGUUUAUAGGCAAGUGAGAAUUUUUCUAUCUGAACCUGAGAGAAUAAAAGGUGGUUUUGAAUUAGACAAAAUAGAGCCAAAAGUUCAAACAAAUGGUGGAAGGAUUGUAAAAAUCUUGCAAAGAAUUCCAUGUGUGGUUAUAUUGACUAAAUUCAAAAAGGUACUACAUGGUUUUUCUGUAAAUAAAAAAUUGAAAUAAAAGCACAACAAGGUACUCGUAAUGCACUAAUCUGCUUUUUAGCAAACUUUGUUAACGGUUAUAACAGAUUGUUGCUUCUUUAAAAUUUUGGAGUCAUUGUAACAAAAUAAAUAAUUUACGAUAAUCUGAAAUUCUAUUUUAUAACAUCAAGUGUUUCAAAUCUCUAACACUUAACAUGCUUCCCAAAAUCAUACUUUAGUUUCAAAAUUGCCUUUCCUGAUUCCUGACUUUUGGAUACUUCAGAGGGCCCCUGGAGUAUCCAAAAGAGAGGUAAACAGAAUUAUUUGACAUGUUUAGGUACAUGAGAUUGGCAAAAUGGUGUUUAUUCCAUCUUUAGGUUAUAUUUUGGUGAAUAAUACUAAUAUAUGUUCCAAAAUUGUUUGGGAUUUCUAAAAUUCUAAUAUAUGGUAUCAAUGGUAAUUAAGGUUGUUAUGUUAAGUUAUUGUAAACCACAGAGAUAGCCAAACUUCUUUGUCAAUUGUGUUUCUAACUGUAACUAACCUGGACAUUUUGUUAUUCACAGACAAGUGUUGUCUUGUUUUAAUUAUUUUUAAAAGAUGGUUUAUAUUAAACUAUAGAACUUUCACAGGUGCUUUCAAAUACAGGUUUCUGAUAGCCUUGGAGAUUGUGACAUUGGAAUAAAGGAAAAAAGGACAGGAUUCAGGGCCGGGUGUGGUGGCUUACACCUGUAAUCCCAGCACUUUGGGAGGUCAAGGCAGGUGGAUCACGAGUUCAGAUCGAGACCAUCCUGGCUAACACGGUGAAACCCAGACUCUACUAAAAAUACAAAAAAUUAGCAUGGUGGCUGGCACCUCUAGUCUCAGCUACUCGGGAGGCUGAGGCAGGAGAAUUGCUUGAACCUGGGAGGCGGAGGUUGCAGUGAGCUGAGAUCACACCACUGCACUUUAGCCUGGGCGACAGAGAGAGACUCCAUCUCAGAAAAAAAAAAAAAAAAUGCACAGGACUCAUGAGGAGCUAAAAUGUUCACAAAUAUCAAGCAAAACAAGAGUUAAGUAAAUGGACUGCACUCAGAAAACUAAAGCAACCUUUUUGACUUUUGCUUGGUAUAUUGCUGAUCCUUCUUUAAUUUUUUAGAGUCAAGGAAACUUGUUUUUAACUACUAUUUAUGGCCUUCAAUAAUUGAGUAAAGUAUACUCCUAUGAACAAAAUUAGGAAUAUGUUUGUUUUUCUCUGCCUCUUUCCUCUAGAAUUUGGAAACUAUCUGUGAGUAUUCUCAACUUAUGGCAAUAUAGUUGUUUGUAUGAGUGCAAUAAGAAUCCAUUUUCUUUAGCAACAGGAUGCAACUGGAGAAACUGUUUGUUUGUUUGUUUUAACCAAGGCUUUGACUGAAAGGGUAUGCUUCCCUUUAAAGAGUCAAGCUUGACUUGCAGAGAUGAUAAAAGCCCCUUGAAAAAACUGCCCUCAUAUCCUUGUCUACACAGUCUCUGUACAGCGUUCCUGACCUGUGGUCAGUGAAAAAUAUCACUUUUUAACAGGCCUAGGAGCUCCAAGUUUAUCUUGGGACCUUAAAAGGAAAGGAUUACCCAGCUCACAGGUAUUUGAGGAUACAAACACAUGGCUGUGCUCAGCUUUAGAAGGUCUUAUUCCUUGUGGAACAGAUUUCCAUCGAAGCCAAUCUAAAAGGCCUAUGUAGAGAUAGUCAUUUUUGCUCACCUUAUGCAAAUAAUCAGGGCAAGUAUAGGACUAAAGGCUAUGUUGCAAACAACUCAGUCCUGUUAUGAUUUUUUCUUUUCUUUUUUUUUUUUUUAGAUGGAGUCUCGCUCUGUCACCCAGGCUGGAGUGCAGUGGCGCAAUCUCGGCUCACUGCAUCCUCCGCCUCCCAAAUUCAAGCAAUUCUCUGCCUCAGCCUCUUGGGUAGCUGGGAUUACAGGUGCCCGCCACCAUGCCCUGCUAAUUUUUGUAUUUUUAGUACAGACAGGAUUUAGCCAUCUUGGCCAGGCUGCUCCUAAACUCCUGACCUCAUGAUCCACCCACUUCGGCCUCCAAAGUCCUGGGAUUACAGGCGUGAGCUACCAUGCCUGGCCAGAACCCAAUAUUUUCUACAACAAUAUUUUAUACAUUUCUUUCUACAUGGAUUAUAUAAAUUGGGCUUUCCAGCAGAAAAAGGAAAAGAAAAAGCAUAUGUCUCAAUGAGAGCACACAAUUAUGAGAAUGGCAACCAUGCAAAGAAAAAUUGCAAGGACUUAGUGCUGAUGAGGAUUUACAGCAACUAAAACUAGAAAUGUAAAAUGAUACAGUAAAACAAUUUAACGGUUUAUUGUAAUGUUAUAUAUACAUUUAUCAUAUUACCAGGAUAUCCACUCCUAGGUCAUUACUAAAGCAAAGUGAAAACUAAUGUUGAAAUGAAAACUUUUUUGUGGCUGUGUAUUGCUAACUUUAUUUUCAAUUGCAAAAAGCUAGAUAUAAACCAGAUGCUUUAUAGCAGUUGAAUAAAUAAGCUGUGGUGCAUCCAUAAAAUAGCAUCCUAGUUGUCAACAACAACAAAAAACAAAUUAUUGAUCGACACCACAGUAUGCAUGAGUCAGACAUGCAUUUCCUUCAGUGAAGGAAGCAAGAUCCAAAAGGCUACAUAUUACAUGAUCCAAUUAUAUGGCAUUGUAGAAAAAGAAAGUUAUAGAGAUUGAUUAUAAUCAAGCUAGGCUUGAUAGCUCAAACCUAUAAUCUCAGCAUGUUGGGAGGCUGAGGUGACAGAGUUGUUUGAGUCAGGGAUUUUAAGAGCAGCCUGAGCAAUAUAACAAGACCUUCCUAAAAAAAGAAGAAGAAAGCAGAAGGAGAAGGAGAAGGGGAGAUGGAGAAAUAGAAGGAGGAGGAGAAAAGGAAGGGGAAGAAAAAAGAGGAGGAGGAAGGAGAAGCAGGAGGAAGAGGAGAAAGAAUAACAAAAAGUAGUAGUAGUUAGGACGAUGAAACAGUUCUGUGUGGUACUCUGAAGAUGGGUAUGUGACUCUAGACAGUUGUCAAAUCUUAUGAAACUGAACAUCACAGAGAAUAAAUUUUCCUCUGCAAAACAACACAAAACAACAAAAUACAUUGAUUUGGAGUAUAUUUAGAUACAAUGUAGAAAAUGUUAAAAGGAGCUUAACCUAAUAGAAAUGUAUUACCUAACCCUAUUAAAGAAGGUUGGAAUGAGGCCAGGCAUGGUUGUUCAUGCCUGUAAUCCCAGCAUUUUGGGAGGCCGAGGCAGGUGGAUCACCUGAGGUCGAGAAUUUGAGACUAGCCUGACCAACAUGGAGAAACCCCAUCUCUACAAAAAACACAAAAUUAGCUGGGUAUGGUGGCACAUGCCUGUAAUCCCAGCUCCUCGGGAGGUUGAGGCAGGAGAAUCACUUGAACCCAGAGGUGUAUGUUAUGAAGAGCCAAGAUCGUGCCAUUGCACUCCAGCCUGGGCCACGAGAGCGAGAACUGCGUCUCAAAAAAAAAAAAAAAAAAAAUGUUGGAAUGAAAGGUCUUAAUUUAAAUCACUUUGAAAAACAGUGUUUUGAUUGAAUACUGCAAGAGUCAAAAACUAUACACAAACUGUAUUGUUGUUUUUUCAUAAGCAUAUGAAUUAGCAAUUUUUAAAACUAUAUGUUGGCGUAUACACACACACAUAGUAAUUACUGCCUGUUUUUUGAACUUGAAAAAUGUUAGCAUCAAAGGGAGAAUUUUAGAAUAAAUGAUGUGAUGCUGGACUGGAGUUGCGCAUGUUUUUUUUUUUUUUUUUUUUGAGACAGUCAUUGUCACCCAGGCUGUAGUGCAGUGGUGCAUUCCUGGCUCACUGAAGCCUCCACCUCCCAGGUUCAAGUGAUUUUCAUGUUUGAGCUUCCUGAGUAACUAGAAUUACAGGUGUGUACCAACUCACCUGACUAAUUUUUGUAUUUUUAGUAAUGAUGGGGUUUCACCAUGUUGGCCAGGCUGGUCUCAAACCCCUGACCUCUUGAUCUGCCCACCUUGACCUUCCAAAGUGCUGGGAUUACAGGUGUGAGCCACCACACCUGGCCUGUUUUUUCAAUAAGACUUAUGACACCCACCUCAGACUUCCAAGUAUCCUGGACCCUCUGGUGAUAUCCCGUCUCUACUUUAAAAAAAAAUACCAAAAAAAAAAAAAAAAAACCCCACCACAGCUCUGUUUUUUGUUAUUUUUUUAAAGUAGAGACAGGGUCUCGCCAUGUUGCCCAAGCUGGUCUUGAACUCUUGAACUCCAGCAGUUUGUCCCUUUUGGCCUUCCAAAGUGCUGGGAUUACAGGCAGUGUAUUACUUGGUAAGAAUUCAUUAAGCUUUGCAUGAAUUAAUGAUUUUCACGUAUAUUUCUGUAUGAAUGUUUUAUAUCAACAAAAAAUUACAUAGUACAUAUUUGCACAAAAUGCUAACUCAUCUCAGAAUAAUGGCAGCAUCUUUUGGUUUGUUUAUGGUGGAACACACUCAGGACAAGAUCAUACAGAUUGUAAUAUUCCAAGAGGAGUAUUAAAGCCCUACCCCUUGGGUGAAACUGUAGGUCUUUUUAUUUUUACCUCAGUUUGGUUCAUGGUAUGUUUUUUAUCUUAAGAGAAUGCAAUUUUUUUUUGUUGUUGUUUGUUUUUUCCAGAAAAUGUCCCCUCACAGCAAUGAUUGCCAAUGCCGAGGCACCUAGCACAGUGUCUUGCUCAGUGGGUACUCAGUAUUUAUGGAACUGGGUUGAUUAAGGCACAAAACAGCAAGGUUGGUUCAGUGAAGAAUAAUUUAGUAAUACUGGUUAGACUAAAAGGCCAUGACUUAGCAGCAAACAUUCUUACAUUCAUUUGAGAAAUAAUUUACAAUUAGGUCACCUAAAAAUGUUAAUUUACAGUGGUGGCAUUUAAGCUUGGCUGCUCUGUCAUCACCUAUACAGAUUAAAAUCACACUGUUGCCCAGGUUCAACUCAAGCAAUUCUGAUUUAAUUAGGGUGUUGCAAUUUGUGUUUAGGGGAUUUUUAACACCACCACCCCCUCCCACCCCCAUGCUGCCCCAAGUGAUUUUUACUUGCAGUCUGGGAUGAAAACAAUUGGUUUAGGGUGAGGGAUGGAUUCACUGUGUGUGAUUAUCAUGAGUGCUGCUGAGAUUUGUCCCAUGGCUGCUUCUGACUUUGGGAUUUUGAAAAGCAGCGCUGCCAUUGUAAAAAUCAAAAGACAACUUCAAGAUGUACUCAAAUACUUUGCUAAACUGCAACAGAAUAAAAUGUCUUCUUAGCUCGGUCUAUAGUCACUUUAAUUCAAGGUAAGAGAUUGUUUCAGGUACAGUAGUUUUAGUAAGUGUUGAAAAUCAUAAAUAGCCUACACAUACCAAGAAACUAUUUUAAUCCUUUGACAUAUUUGACAG